GAUGAACGCUAGCUACAGGCUUAACACAUGCAAGUCGAGGGGAAACGACAUCGAAAGCUUGCUUUUGGUGGGCGUCGACCGGCGCACGGGUGAGUAACGCGUAUCCAACCUGCCCACCACUUGGGGAUAACCUUGCGAAAGUAAGACUAAUACCCAAUGAUAUCCCACGAAGGCAUCGGAAUGGGAUUAAAGAUUUAUCGGUGAUGGAUGGGGAUGCGUCUGAUUAGCUUGUUGGCGGGGUAACGGCCCACCAAGGCUACGAUCAGUAGGGGUUCUGAGAGGAAGGUCCCCCACAUUGGAACUGAGACACGGUCCAAACUCCUACGGGAGGCAGCAGUGAGGAAUAUUGGUCAAUGGGCGAGAGCCUGAACCAGCCAAGUAGCGUGCAGGAUGACGGCCCUAUGGGUUGUAAACUGCUUUUAUAAGGGAAUAAAGUGGGUCACGUGUGACUUUUUGCGUGUACCUUAUGAAUAAGGACCGGCUAAUUCCGUG
rnacentral:rRNA from 1 species